GACGAACGCUGGCGGCGUGCUUAACACAUGCCAGUCGAACGGAAAGGCCCUGCUUUUGUGGGGUGCUCGAGUGGCGAACGGGUGAGUAACACGUGAGUAACCUGCCCUUGACUUUGGGAUAACUUCAGGAAACUGGGGCUAAUACUGGAUAGGAGCUCCUGCUGCAUGGUGGGGGUUGGAAAGUUUCGGCGGUUGGGGAUGGACUCGCGGCUUAUCAGCUUGUUGGUGGGGUAGUGGCUUACCAAGGCUUUGACGGGUAGCCGGCCUGAGAGGGUGACCGGCCACAUUGGGACUGAGAUACGGCCCAGACUCCUACGGGAGGCAGCAGUGGGGAAUAUUGCACAAUGGGCGGAAGCCUGAUGCAGCAACGCCGCGUGCGGGAUGACGGCCUUCGGGUUGUAAACCGCUUUCGCCUGUGACGAAGCGUGAGUGACGGUAAUGGGUAAAGAAGCACCGGCUGACUACGUG
rnacentral:rRNA from 1 species